AUGUGUUCUCAAUCUCCUCCUCGAUCUGCUAUCGUUGUCGACUGUAAUUUUCUCUCUGGAGUUCAGACCAGGAAAUGCACAGUAGAGAAUUUCCAAAAAGAAAUUGGCUUGCGCUGCUUUCUGUGCGAUUCUCUUGUAUCUAUCCAUCGUCCUCGUGGCUGCUUUCGAAUCUCUGGGUCGAUCAAUCAAUCACUCACUCAUCUGGAAACCUCGAGCGGUGCAGCCAGCUUGUCUCGCCCUGCACGCACUUUCGGGAAAAGGUUGGCUGCUUUGCGAUAUUCUGCGUCGGCCGGAAAGAAGAGCUCGCCAAGGGAGGAGGGCAACACGACGCAGAGGUUUUUCGAGGCGAGGCGAUCUAGAUUGGAUUCCUGCUUGCAUAUAGCCUACCUAGGUGAGAAGAAAACCAAGGGACGAGAGGACAAGACGAGGCGGGGAAGAAACGGCCACAUGAUGCUCCCCGCGGGAGGAAAAGAUGCCUCAGUACAGCGACUCCAUUCCGCUCAAGGCACAUGUCGUUCGUCCAGAAAAAAAAAGAUGCAUCCCUUCCGUUUGGGAGGGCUGAAUGAAUCAACCAAGACAUUCGGAUCCAUAUAG
rnacentral:rRNA from 1 species